UUAGAGAAGGGCAGAGGAUAAACGAGAAUUGCCUGAGAAAAGUGUGCCAAGUGGACCAAUGGAAUGGUGCCAACAAAGCAACCAGGCCAAUGAGAAAUAGACAUGGCAGAUUGACCCAGUUGGCAUUUAGCGUAUGUUAGGAGUAUAAGGUGGAGAAAUUAUUUCCCAUUAAUAAGCAGUGGCGCACAGUAGCAAUGAAAGGGGGCAAGCGA
rnacentral:lncRNA from 1 species